rnacentral:rRNA from 1 species
GUCUAUGGCCAUACCACCCUGAACACGCCUGAUCUCGAAAGCUAAGCAGGGUCAGGCCUGGCUAGUUUUCUCCUUAGAUG